ACGUUCGUAAAUCAUAUAGGUGGUUCCAGUGUGUUGUGUCAUGGGCAUGACUACAAUUUUGAUACCAAAAACAGGUGAUUUCUGUGUGUGAGAGAAACCAAAAAAUGGGGAAGAUGACAUUCAGAGUAGUUAUAGCGAUUUUAGUAGUACUCUUACUUUACUACGUCGGCCGGCCUCUCUACUGGAAAAUCUCCGCCACCGUUCACGAUAUCCGCCACAACAAACAAACAGUCUCCGGAGGAUUUUCACAAAUUGUUCAGGCAGCUCAGAAUUCAGUCAGCUGGUUCCACGAUGAGUCCGAUUCAGGAGUGCUUGACGUUGGAAUCGCGGCAGCAAGGAGGAUUGUUCUUCGUAAGGUUUUGUAAAGCAUUUUAAAAUGUUACUUUCAUGUGUUAAGACUGUCUCUAGUGGUUAAUGUAGAUCCUUGAAUAAACGUGUUGUAGUUGUGAAGACUUUCAAACUUUUGAAGUUUCUGCAAUUGUUGCUACACCUUGUACUAAUUUCAGUCCAUAUCAGAAUAUCAAACAAUCAAUUGUCUGUAUA
rnacentral:misc_RNA from 1 species